UUGGCUGCAUCAAAGACGACAAAGACGAGGGCUGGAACUGUCGCCGCCGCCGAGUUGGUGCAGCAUUCCCUUGCGAUCCGGCCAAAGCGUCGUGGACUCGGUCUGUCGCCGCCCAGAACAGCAUCCAGCAAUGUACGAGAGCUCGACGGCCCGCCUGACGGAGCCCAAGCCACAAGUGCCCAUCCGCAGGGCAAUGUGGGCUGCGGAGCCUGUGAUCCCCGACAGAGCCGUCUACACGUUUGGAACCCUGACACUGCUCAUUCUGGCUGGGGCCCUGGUGAUCUUAGGCUAUGCUGCCUAUGUCAAGCUCUCCUGAGCACUCUUGCAAGCGACAGGCCUGCCUUCCUCCCAUGUAAGUGUUCGUGGAAUGCUUUGCACCUUCCAUGCACUGCUGGAGUGGUAGAUUCAAUUGGUUGUUUUCAAGAGCAUUGCCUUCACUUUGUACUAAUUAGCUAAACCAUUGAACUGAAUAUCAUGAAAAAACAUUUGGGUAAGCACUUUCCGGAUGUGUCCUCUAACGCAAAAUGGGCAGCAGUAAUGCUGUACUGUAGACGAAUGCCCAUUACCAGAGUAUGGCAUCAUUCUGAAUCUUGUGUUAUGUGAAAGCC
rnacentral:lncRNA from 1 species